rnacentral:misc_RNA from 1 species
AAAGUCGUAACAAGGUUUCCGUAGGUGAACCUGCGGAAGGAUCAUUCUUGAUGAUGUAGCUUAUGCUAUCAUUUAAUAUGUGCACCGUUACUGCCAUUUGGCGGCCGAAAGGUCGCCACUGGGCUAUUUAAAAUAUACAAUUUAACUACCUGUACCUGUAAUCAUAAAUUUUAUGACAACUUUUAGCAAUGGAUCUCUAGGCUCUC